AUUUGUUGCACCAGAAGUAGGUAGUCUAACCGCAAGGAAGACGCUUACCACGGUGUGGCCGAUGACUGGGGUGAAGUCGUAACAAGGUAGCCGUAAGUGAACCUGCAGAAGGAUCA
rnacentral:rRNA from 1 species